CGAGUUUUGAUCGUUUUUGAGCAAUGUAUAUAAAUGUCUACAACUUCAGUAAUUUUCAAAGUCUAAUCUUGCUUAAUUACGUCAUACGUGACGUCACGAAACGUAUCACAAGCGGUACAACUGGCAAACACCGUUUUCACGAAGUGGCCUCUUACGCGCAAAUGUAGUCUGCUAUUGAUAAUUGUACAGGAACCGGCUCCGCGAAGCCUUUGUCACAGAUGCCGGUGCUUCUGGCGGAAUUGUUAGAGGAAUCUGACAGCCCUAGUAGAAUAGCCGGCUGAGAGGACCAUCACUAGCACUCCCAGUGGCUGAUGUCUAAGUAGGAGUUUGACGUGGAGAGCUUUAAGCAUGUUGUUGAGUUUACCAGUAAAAUAGACAGCUGGGAUACGCAAGAGAUGAGGGACCACUAGCACCCCCAGUGGUUGAUGUCCAUGUAGGAGUUUGUGCAGCUGAUGUGGAGAGCUUUUAGCAAAUUGACAAGCAUCUUCACCCUCUGCCCUUGAACUGAUUGCUUUUCCAAUACCAUGGUUUGGAGGUCAGACCAAACGACUGACAGACCGACCGACUGAAUAGCUAAGUCCCCUCAGUCAUCAAAGGAUGGACAAAAAUACAGAAGUUAUUGUUAGGUGGGAUCGUGAUGGAGAGAUCAAUUGUGGCAAGAAACGAGAUCUUCGAUAUAACGGAAGGCUUAGGGUGGGUUCAAGAGUCACUAUGAGCUAGAUGGAUGUGGACUGGACGGGGACUGCAACGCUGACAGGAGACUCUGACUCCGAAUGUGCCUCCAUUUAGAGGUUUUGUGGUCUAGUGGAUAAGUCGUUGGACUGUGGAUCACAGGAUCCAUGGUUCAAGUCCCGCCACAGCAGUAAUGUCUUUUGGCAAGAUAUUAAUCUACAU